GACGAACGCUGGCGGCGUGCCUAAUACAUGCAAGUAGAACGCAGUUGCGAACGGGUGAGUAACGCGUAGGUAACUGCCUGGUAGCGGGGGAUAACUAUUGGAAACGAUAGCUAAUACCGCAUACUACCAGAUGGACCUGCGUUGUAUUAGCUCGUUGGUGAGGUAACGGCUCACCAAGGCAACGAUACAUAGCCGGCGUGAGAGGGUGAGCGGACACACGGGGACGGAUACACGGCCGAGACUCCUCCGGGAGGAAGCGGAGGGAAAUCUGCGGCAAUGGGGGAAACCCGGACAGGGCAGCGCCGGGGGAGUUAAGAGGGUUUGGGAAGCGUAAGGCUCUGUGUUUAAGGAAGCGGUACGUAACCAGAAAGGGAUGGCUAACUACGUGCCAGCAGCCGCGGUAAUUC
rnacentral:rRNA from 1 species